UACGUAGGGUGCGAGCGUUGUCCGGAUUUAUUGGGCGUAAAGAGCUCGUAGGCGGUUUGUCGCGUCGGCCGUGAAAUCUCCACGCUUAACGUGGAGCGUGCGGUCGAUACGGGCAGACUUGAGUACUGGCAGGGGAGACUGGAAUUCCUGGUGUAGCGGUGGAAUGCGCAGAUAUCGGGAGGAACACCAAUGGCGAAGGCAGCACGUCUGGGACGUGACUGACGCUGAGACGCGAAGGCCAGGGGAGCGAACGGGG
rnacentral:rRNA from 1 species